rnacentral:tRNA from 1 species
GUGGUGGCUCAGUGGUAGAGUGUUCACCUAGCAUGCGUGGGGCACUGGUUUCGAUCCUUGGCACCACA